rnacentral:rRNA from 1 species
UAGGGAAUCUUCCACAAUGGACGCAAGUCUGAUGGAGCAACGCCGCGUGAGUGAAGAAGGCUUUCGGGUCGUAAAACUCUGUUAUUGAAGAAGAACGUGUGUGACAGUAACUGGUCAUGCAGUGACGGUAUUCAAUCAGAAAGUCACGGCUAACUACGUGCCAGCAGCCGCGGUAAUACGUAGGUGGCAAGCGUUGUCCGGAUUUAUUGGGCGUAAAGCGAGUGCAGGCGGUCUUUUAAGUCUGAUGUGAAAGCCUUCGGCUUAACCGAAGAAGGGCAUCGGAAACUGGGAGACUUGAGUGCAGAAGAGGAGAGUGGAACUCCAUGUGUAGCGGUGAAAUGCGUAGAUAUAUGGAAGAACACCAGUGGCGAAGGCGGCUCUCUGGUCUGUAACUGACGCUGAGGCUCGAAAAGCGUGGGUAGCAAACAGGA